rnacentral:rRNA from 1 species
AUUGAACGCUGGCGGCAGGCCUAACACAUGCAAGUCGAGCGGAUGAAGGGAGCUUGCUCCUGGAUUCAGCGGCGGACGGGUGAGUAAUGCCUAGGAAUCUGCCUGGUAGUGGGGGAUAACGUCCGGAAACGGGCGCUAAUACCGCAUACGUCCUGAGGGAGAAAGUGGGGGAUCUUCGGACCUCACGCUAUCAGAUGAGCCUAGGUCGGAUUAGCUAGUUGGUGGGGUAAAGGCCUACCAAGGCGACGAUCCGUAACUGGUCUGAGAGGAUGAUCAGUCACACUGGAACUGAGACACGGUCCAGACUCCGACGGGAGGCAGCAGUGGGGAAUAUUGGACCAUGGGCGAAAGCCUGAUCCAGCCAUGCCGCGUGUGUGAAGAAGGUCUUCGGAUUGUAAAGCACUUUAAGUUGGGAGGAAGGGCAGUAAGUUAAUACCUUGCUGUUUUGACGUUACCAACAGAAUAAGCACCGGCUAACUUCGUG